rnacentral:lncRNA from 1 species
CACAAAUAAAAAUAUAUGUUUAGUAUCUGUCAUGUAACAGAAAUUUUUUAAAAAAUACAGAUUUUUAAGUUCAGUAACAGCUAAAAACGUCAUGGAAAAUUCAUAGAUAAUUUGUUAGAGUUUACAACUGCCUACUCAGAUACCAGAAGGUCAUUUUGCUGAAAGAGCUGUGAAACUCCAUUUUUUUUUUUGUGUGUGUGUGUGUAGAUGGACACAACACAAUGCCUUUAUUUUUAUGUGGUGCUGAGGAUCGAACCCGGGCACCGUGCUAGUGAGCACUCUACCAUUGAGCCACAAUCCCAGCCCCGAAACUCCAUUCUUAAUACAAUGAGAAAUCAUUGGUCAUUAUUAAAAAUGCACUUCACAAAAGGAAAUGGGCAAAUUGAUUGAAGAAGCAAGUGUUGUUUUGGAUCUGGAAUGUCCCCCAAAGUCUCAUGUGUUGAAGGCUUGGUCCACAGUGAAGCAAUGUUCUGAGGUGGGGCUUUCAGGAAAUGAUUGGAUCAAGUGCACUCUGACUACAUUAUUUGAUUAACCCAUUGAUAGAUUCAUAAUUUGAAUGGAUUAUUGGGAAGUAGUAGCAAGUAUAGAAGGUGGGACCUAGUUGAAGGGGGUGGGUCCUUGGGGCCAUGCUUUUAGGGACUAUAUCAUGUCCUGGGUCACUUCUCUUUCUGCUUUCCAGAACUCAUGAGCUGAGCAGCUUCCUCAGCCACACUUUUCUGCCAUGAUGUUGUGCCUCACCUCAGGCCCAAAGUAGUGGAUUCAUCUGAUUUUGGACUGAAACCUCUGAAACUGUGAGCCAAAAUGAAUCUAUCUUCUUUUGAGUUGUUUUUCUCAUGCAUUUUGUCACACUGACAAAAAGCUGUCUAACACAUGGAGUAAAAGAAAUUGUACUGGACUAUGGAAAUCACCUAACAAUAAUUCUUAUACCUUCAUCCAAAGUUGCUUAGUGUUAUCAACAAAAUUGCCUGAAAAAAGAGGAAUUCUGAUGGCAGUAGACCCUUACUAGGCCUACCAAAAAUCUGAAAUUGUUAAAAACAUUUUAAGAGAUAUGUUAUCUGCCUAUAGAAUUAUUUGUGUGUGAAUGUGGAGGGGGU